GGCACAAUGGUUUGGAAUGCUGUGGCGGAUAUUUUGGAAUUGUUCUGAAUGAGACAGUUCAUAACUGCACACCUUGCAAGAAUGGUUUUUAUGGCCAAAACUGUAUGCUGAAAUGCCCGCAUCCAUCAUUCGGCGUGAGAUGCCAGGAAACAUGUCAUUGUACUCGUGAAAGUUGUCAUCAUGUUUAUGGCUGCAAAAGAGCAUCAGCUGAGUGUAGGUUGGGAACGUUUGGUGAUUACUGCGAGUUUGUUUGCCAAUACCCUAACUAUGGAAAAGAAUGCCAACUUCGAUGCAACUGUGAUGAAGAACAUUGUAAUCCGUCUAGAGGAUGUAAAGG